AGAGUUUGAUCCUGGCUCAGGAUGAACGCUGGCGGCGUGCUUAAUACAUGCAAGUCGAACGGACGAUUUUUUGUAGUAAUACAAAGGAGAGUUAGUGGCGAACGGGCGAGUAACGAGUUGGUGACCUGCCCCGAAGAUCGGGAUAACAGUCCGAAAGGGCUGCUAAUACCGGAUGUGGUCUACUGGAUUAGAAGCGGUAGAUUAAAGCAGUAAUGCACUUCGGGAGGGACUUGCUUCCCAUCAGCUAGUUGGUGAGGUAACGGCCCACCAAGGCGACGACGGGUAAGGGACCUGAGAGGGUGGUCCCUCGCAAUGGCACUGAAACACGGGCCAUACACCUACGGGUGGCAGCAGUAGGGAAUAUUGGGCAAUGGGCGAAAGCCUGACCCAGCAACGCCGCGUGCGGGAUGAAGGCUCUCGGGUCGUAAACCGCUUUCAGCAGGGAUGAAAUUGACAGUACCUGCAGAAGAAGCCCCGGCUAAAUACGUGCCAGCAGCCGCGGUAAUACGUAUGGGGCGAGCGUUAUCCGGAUUCAUUGGGCGUAAAGAGCGCGUAGGCGGCUUGUUAAGCGAGAUGUGAAAACCGGGGGCUUAACCCGCGGCCUGCAUCUCGAACUGGCAGGCUUGAGUCUGGUAGAGGAGUGUGGAAUUCCCAGUGUAGCGGUGAAAUGCGCAGAUAUUGGGAGGAACACCAGUGGCGAAGGCGGCACUCUGGGCCACGACUGACGCUGAGGCGCGAAAGCUAGGGGAGCGAACAGGAUUAGAUACCCUGGUAGUCC
rnacentral:rRNA from 1 species